CCCUUAGAUGUUCUGGGCCGCACGCGUGCUACACUGAGUGGAUCAGCGGGUCAGGUUGCGCGAAAGCGUUUCCUAAUCUUUAAAUCCGCUCGUGAUGGGGAUGGACGGUUGCAAUUUUCUGUCAUGAACGAGGAAUACCUUGUAAGCGCGGGUCAUCAUCCCGCGCUGAAUACGUCCCUGCCCUUUGUACACACCGCCCGUCGCUCCUACCGAUUGAGUGGUCCGGUGAGGCUUUGGGAUCUGAGCGGAAAGAGCGUUUCGCUGUUUCUGCUCGGAAAACUCAGUCGAACCUUAUCAUUUAGAGGAAGGAGAAGUCGUAACA
rnacentral:rRNA from 1 species